AUACUUACCUGGCAGGGGGAAUACCAUGAUCAUGAAGGUGGUUUACCCAGGGUGAGGCUUAUCCAUUGCACUCGGGAUGUGCUGACCCCUCCGAUUUGCCCAAAUGUGGGAAACUCAACUGCAUAAUGUGUAGUAGGAGGAGACUGUGUUCAUGCUCUCCCC
rnacentral:snRNA from 1 species